CAGUUAAAUAAUCGAUUCGUCGAAGAUAAACAAAUUUUUUUUUGUCAAAGAAUGUUGUCCACAAGAGAAGUACUAAGAUGUUCGUUUAAUAUUAUCACUGAUUUUACACAUAUGAGGACUGAACAGCAUAAUGAUUUAUUACUUUGACUUUCCAUUGGAUGGCAUGUGGCACUACUACUUUUCAAGAACCAUUCAUGAAAUUCCUAGAUACAUUGUAUUGUUUAUACCCCAUAAUUUGCGAAUUCCAAUUUCUUGCUUCAUACCGUUUACCAGACAGCCUGUCGCUUACAUUUUAAUAUUUUUUUAAUGUUUAGUAAUUUCUGUGUUAAUUAGCUAUAUCAAAAUUAAAAAUAAGGACAAUCAAAAUUUUACACUUACCUUAUUUUUUAUCACGUAUAUUUUCGCAUCCAAAUUGCAUGUAUGUGCUUCAUUUUAUUUCAUGUUUUUAAAAACGAACAGGUGAUCAAUGCGAUAGUAAUUCACGUAGACAGAAUCUUUUUCUUGAUCUAAGUUUUACCGAUGCCAUUUUUGAGAAUCGUUAUUAUCUGAGAAUCGUUUCUUCUUUUACAUUCAAAAAUGCGAUUAAAUGGUUGAAAAAUCAACUUGUUUUAAAUUAUUUUAUCGAUUUUUUUAAUUGUGACAGAAAUCAAUAAGGAUAGUUUCAAAUGAGGAUGAAACACAAGAAUAUACCGAUCCUUUCGUUAGAUGCGAAAGUUCGAUAUUCGGAAUUGCCAUCUUAAUCAAGAGUGGCAGUGAUCGCAGACGCACGGUCAGACUAUGACCAGUAUUCAUAGUCGGAUCUUAUAUUUAAGAUCAUUUUAAGUACUGUCUUAAGAUGCCAUCAGCCAGUUACAGAGCUGUAUUAGCAUCUCAAGAUAUUGCUUGAGACGAUCUUGAAAUAAGAUUCGACUAUGAAUACCAGCCUAAGUGAGUUCGUUCUCGACUUGUUCUUUUUUCUACGAUUCGCCGGCAGUUAUUGCUAUCUUCAUUCCAGAAUAUUCCUUCGAGGUUACAAAUUCGCAUGAGUAAUCCAUAUCGGGGCUGGAAAGGAAGGUUCGUGAGGGAAGUUUUAUUCCCCUCAUGCUGCUCCGUUUUAUUCCAUAACAUAUGGUGUCUUUUCUUCUUUUUGCAGCAAGGGAACACGCCCGUACGUUAACAAAAUAUAAUAUAAGAAAUAAGAUGACAAACUGCAAUAAUUUAGCUACAUCGUGCCGAUAUAAGCAUAUUCUAGUAAUAUAGUAAUAUUGCCACACUGUUGAGCGUGAAUAACACUUUGUAUUGCAGUUCGGAAAAAUUCUUUUAGUGAUAAACCUAUCACAAUUUAGCACAACAGUCACAACAUGUUAAUUUAAAAAAAUGGAAACUUCUAGGCGUUUUUAGAAAGGAAAAGGAAGGAGUAAUAAAAAAAACACUUUAAAUCAAAGUGACAUCUAUAAAAAUUAAUAUAGUCCCAUUCGUUUCAUUACUUGUACUAAUGAGCCGUUAAAAAAUAGUAUUUUGUUAUUUAUAAAUUCGUUAUGUCACAUUAUAGAAAAAAGUAAUAAUUUUUAAUUUUUACUGAAAUAACUUCGUCAACAAGCGACAAUGGUAACUUAAACGCGUUGCUUUUACGUUACCACUCACAAUAUACUUUAUUCUGCAAGAGUCUAUUGUGUGACCGAUUCUUUUGUCGAAAAAUAAUCGCCUAUUAAAUAAUCAACUCAAUGUCAAAAGAAAUUCAGCAGAUGUUUCUUUUUUACAUAAUAGCAUUCAUAACAGAAGUCUUAAAGUGAAAGUUACACAAACAUAUUAUUUGCUUUUUCAUAUAUUCAGAUGUUUCAUAUCCAUAUGUAUACUUGUAACUCACAUACGGUUGAGGAAUAAAAUGUUUUAUUAGAAGUAUUAUAUUCAAAAAGAGAAAGAGAGAGAGAAAGAGAGAGAGACAGAGUAUACAAUAAUUAGAUUAUAUAACUAUUCUGUAUUGUACAUUCCUAUUUUUACAAAAAUAUAUAAUUUUGUCUUCUUACUAAAUUAAGUAAUGUUUUUUUUUACAUAUAUGAACAUUAAACACACGAUUAAAAAAUAAAAAUAAAA
rnacentral:lncRNA from 1 species